rnacentral:rRNA from 2 species
GAACCUUACCAGGUCUUGACAUCCUCUGACAACUCUAGAGAUAGAGCGUUCCCCUUCGGGGGACAGAGUGACAGGUGGUGCAUGGUGGUCGUCAGCUCGUGUCGUGAGAUGUUGGGUUAAGUCCCGCAAGGGGCGCAACCCUUGAUCUUAGUUGCCAGCAUUUAGUUGGGCACUCUAAGGUGACUACCGGAGACAACCCGGAGGAAGGUGGGCAUGACGUCAAAUCGUCAUGCCCCUUAUGACCUGGGCUACACACGUGCUACAAUGGAUGGUGCAAACGGCCAGCAAGACCCCGGGGACUAUCCAAUCCCAGAAAACCUUUCUUAUUUAGAAGUGUCAGACUGCAGCUCGCCUACAUGAAAGCUGGAAU